rnacentral:rRNA from 1 species
GACGGAGGAUGCAAGUGUUAUCCGGAAUCACUGGGCGUAAAGCGUCUGUAGGUGGUUUAAUAAGUCAACUGUUAAAUCUUGAGGCUCAACUUCAAAAUCGCAGUCGAAACUAUUAGACUAGAGUAUAGUAGGGUAAAGGGAAUUUCCAGUGGAGCGGUGAAAUGUGUAGAUAUUGGAAAGACCACCGAUGGCGAAGGCACUCUACUGGGCCAUGACUGACACUGAGAGACGAAAGCUAGGGGAGCGAAUGGG